rnacentral:rRNA from 1 species
AAAGCUCGUAGUUGAAUUUCGAGAUCAGUACGCUGGUCGUGCCUUCGGUAUGCACUGGUGUCACUGGUUUCUCCCUUCUGAAGAACCGUCAUGUCAUUAAGUUGGUGUGGCGGGGAAUCAGGACUGUUACUUUGAAAAAAUUAGAGUGUUUAAAGCAGGCUCGCGCUUGAAUACAUUAGCAUGGAAUAAUGAAAUAGGACGUUUGACCCUAUUUUGUUGGUUUCUAGGAUCGACGUAAUGAUUAAUAGGGAUAGUUGGGGGCAUUAGUAUUCAAUUGUCAGAGGUGAAAUUCUUGGAUUUAUUGAAGACUAACUACUGCGAAAGCAUUUGCCAAGGAUGUUUUCAUUAAUCAAGAACGAAAGUUAGGGGAUCGAAGACGAUCAGAUACCGUCGUAGUCUUAACCAUAAACUAUGCCGACUAGGGAUCGGAUGAUGUUAAUUUUUUAAUGACUCAUUCGGCACCUUA